GGCAGGCCUAACACAUGCAAGUCGAGCGGUAACAGGAGAAAGCUUGCUUUCUUGCUGACGAGCGGCGGACGGGUGAGUAAUGUAUGGGGAUCUGCCCGAUAGAGGGGGAUAACUACUGGAAACGGUGGCUAAUACCGCAUAAUGUCUACGGACCAAAGCAGGGGCUCUUCGGACCUUGCACUAUCGGAUGAACCCAUAUGGGAUUAGCUAGUAGGUGGGGUAAAGGCUCACCUAGGCGACGAUCUCUAGCUGGUCUGAGAGGAUGAUCAGCCACACUGGGACUGAGACACGGCCCAGACUCCUACGGGAGGCAGCAGUGGGGAAUAUUGCACAAUGGGCGCAAGCCUGAUGCAGCCAUGCCGCGUGUAUGAAGAAGGCCUUAGGGUUGUAAAGUACUUUCAGCGGGGAGGAAGGUGAUAAGGUUAA
rnacentral:rRNA from 1 species